rnacentral:rRNA from 1 species
CAGUAGCCGCGGUAAUGCGUAGGUGGCAAGCGUUGUCCGGAAUUAUUGGGCGUAAAGGGCUCGCAGGCGGUUUCUUAAGUCUGAUGUGAAGGCCCCCGGCUCAACCGGGGAGGGUCAUUGGAAACUGGGAAACUUGAGUGCAGAAGAGGAGAGUGGAAUUCCACGUGUAGCGGUGAAAUGCGUAGAGAUGUGGAGGAACACCAGUGGCGAAGGCGACUCUCUGGUCUGUAACUGACGCUGAGGAGCGAAAGCGUGGGGAGCGAACAGGAUUAGAUACCCCUGUAGUCCCUGUCUCUUAUAC